AGGUGGAAGGUUGUAGGCAUGUAUCUUAGGCAAAUCCGGGGUACUCUAUGCUGAGAACUGAUAGCAAGCUGUACUUGUACAGUGAAGUGGCUGAUACCAUGCUUCCAGGAAAAGUCUCUAAGCUUCAGUUACACAGGAAUCGUACCCGAAACCGACACAGGUGGUCAGGUCGAGUAGACCAAAGCGCUUGAGAGAACUCUGCUGAAGGAACUAGGCAAAAUGGUACCGUAACUUCGGGAGAAGGUACGCUGCUGACGGUGAUGGGACUUGCUCCCUGAGCUAUUGGCAGCCACAGAAACCAGGCCGCUGCAACUGUUUAUUAAAAACAUAGCACUCUGCAAACACGAAAGUGGACGUAUAGGGUGUGAUGCCUGCCCGGUGCUGGAAGGUUAAUUGAUGGGGUUAGCGUAAGCGAAGCUCUUGAUCGAAGCCCCAGUAAACGGCGGCCGUAACUAUAACGGUCCUAAGGUAGCGAAAUUCCUUGUCGGGUAAGUUCCGACCUGCACGAAUGGCAUAAUGAUGGCGGCGCUGUCUCCAGCAGAGGCUCAGUGAAAUCGAAAUCGCUGUGAAGAUGCAGUGUACCCGCGGCUAGACGGAAAGACCCCGUGAACCUUUACUGCAGCUUGACAUUGAACUUUGACCUUACUUGUGUAGGAUAGGUGGGAGGCUUUGAAGUUAGAACGCUAGUUCUAAUGGAGCCGUCCUUGAAAUACCACCCUGGUAAUGUUGAGGUUCUAACUCUGCCCCGUAAUCCGGGGCGAGGACCAUGUCUGGUGGGUAGUUUGACUGGGGCGGUCUCCUCCUAAAGAGUAACGGAGGAGUACGAAGGUGCGCUCAGCGUGGUCGGAAAUCACGCGUAGAGUAUAAAGGCAAAAGCGCGCUUAACUGCGAGACCCACAAGUCGAGCAGGUACGAAAGUAGGUCUUAGUGAUCCGGUGGUUCUGUAUGGAAGGGCCAUCGCUCAACGGAUAAAAGGUACUCUGGGGAUAACAGGCUGAUACCGCCCAAGAGUUCAUAUCGACGGCGGUGUUUGGCACCUCGAUGUCGGCUCAUCUCAUCCUGGGGCUGAAGCAGGUCCCAAGGGUAUGGCUGUUCGCCAUUUAAAGAGGUACGCGAGCUGGGUUUAGAACGUCGUGAGACAGUUCGGUCCCUAUCUACCGUGGGCGCUGGAAAUUUGAGAGGAUCUGCUCCUAGUACGAGAGGACCAGAGUGGACGAACCUCUGGUGUACCGGUUGUGACGCCAGUCGCAUCGCCGGGUAGCUAUGUUCGGAAGGGAUAACCGCUGAAAGCAUCUAAGCGGGAAGCCUACCUCAAGAUAAGAUUUCCCUAGGAAUUUAUUCCUCUAAAGAGCCGUUCGAGACUAGGACGUUGAUAGGUUGGGUGUGGAAGCACGGUGACGUGUGAAGCUGACCAAUACUAAUUGCUCGUGAGGCUUGACUAU
rnacentral:rRNA from 1 species